GACGAACGCUGGCGGCGUGCCUAAUACAUGCAAGUAGAACGCUGAAGGAGGAGCUUGCUUCUCUGGAUGAAUUGCGAACGGGUGAGUAACGCGUAGGUAACCUGCCUGGUAGCGGGGGAUAACUAUUGGAAACGAUAGCUAAUACCGCAUAAGAGUAGAUGUUGCAUGACAUUUGCUUAAAAGGUGCAAUUGCAUCACUACCAGAUGGACCUGCGUUGUAUUAGCUAGUUGGUGGGGUAACGGCUCACCAAGGCGACGAUACAUAGCCGACCUGAGAGGGUGAUCGGCCACACUGGGACUGAGACACGGCCCAGACUCCUACGGGAGGCAGCAGUAGGGAAUCUUCGGCAAUGGACGGAAGUCUGACCGAGCAACGCCGCGUGAGUGAAGAAGGUUUUCGGAUCGUAAAGCUCUGUUGUAAGAGAAGAACGAGUGUGAGAGUGGAAAGUUCACACUGUGGCGGUAUCUUACCAGAAAGGGACGGCUAACUACGUG
rnacentral:rRNA from 1 species